GUGGACAAAAAGAUUCAGUAGAAAGACCAUGAGAUUUGAAAUCAGGAAAAUGCUUGAGUUCCAGUCUAGACUCUGCUAUUCCUAGCAUUAAAGCAGAACAGUAUAUGAAAAUCACGACAUAUGUCCCAAAGACAGUUGAGUCAGAGGGCUGAGGGAGUGUAAAGGAGGAAGAGAUGCUUUUCUGGCGGGAGGAUCAGCACUGUCCCAUUUUCCAGCCGUGCACCAAGCCACGUUAAGCCCGUGCAUCUGAGUAUCAUAAGGAGCCUGGAAAGGACUUGGCUCCAGGCUGGAGACCGAGAGUCCUGCACACAGACCAGUACAGAGUGGAGAGAACACUGGUGAUGGAGUUACGUGUGAUGCCAUAAAUGUGUGGAAGACAGUGCAUGGCUCAGCCUGCGGAAGUUUGGGACCCACCUCUGCCUUAGGAGGAGUCCAAAGGGAGUCACAGUUGCAAGUGAAAUUUCCUCUCUAAGGUACUCACAUCGGUGCACAAAGAAGCCCUGCACAGAAAUAGCUCGUUGGCACAACUGCACUCUUAAGGGCGGAGAUCUUCAAGCCAUCCUUGACUCCAGAGCAGAAAGACAACCACAUACGAUGCCAAGAAUUGGGGGAAAUGCUGAACUGAAGGCAGAGGAUCUCCCGGGAAAUUGUGAGUGGCCUUCAGUGAUGGCUGUCAAAGAAAACAUUCUGAAGUGCAUCGCUUUCCUUCCUGGUGAUGGAACUCCUAUGCCCCGCUCUCUUCCUGGCUCAGGUAAAAAGACUAUUAUGUCCAUUCAAACCAUUACUUAAUACCCAUUUGUCUUCGUGUGUGCUGUUUCCGCUGUAAGGAAGGCUUCCCCCCAACCCCUCCCACUUCUGGAGAAUUUCUACGUGCUGUCCUUACCUAAAUAAUCACAGUGAUACCAGCAAGCCUUUAUGUAGUACUUACUGUGCAUCUGGUAGUAAGAGGGUGAAGGGUGGGAAUGUCUGCUCCAGUUGCAGGCAGAAAGGAAUUGCAUUGUCUACAGAGAAUUACAAAACCAUGUUAAAAUCAAUAACCAAUCUAUGCUGGCAAACUCUGAACAAUGUCAGUAAUAAAAAAACUCCUCCCCACUGAGGCAGACGUCUCCUGAGCCGCAGCCCCCCUCCAUCCUUGGUACCCACUCUGUGCCCAGCACCUUCCUAAGCAUGUACAUGUAUUACCAUCUCUCCCUGUGACUGCAGCCCUCAGCCUCAGUCACAGGGCGGUGCUAGCUGAACGGUGUAAACUCUAGUCUGGCUUCAAGUACACGUGCCUGCCACAGAGAAGGAAUGCAACAAAAUAAUUUGUUUAGUAAUUGGGACCAAAAUUCAGCACCCAUUACUUAGCCGCAAACUCUUUCCUCAUUGUGAAUGAUUCACUUAACUCAUCUAUCGACAGCUACUCCAAAAUCUAAUUCUCCUGAAAUCUGCAUUAUUACUUGAUAAGUGACUCCCUACUCUUUUAAUAAGCAACUUCGGAGUUUCCUUUCUUCAUUCUAGCACAUUUUAACCUUCGAGUUUUUCCUUCUUCCUCUCUUCAGCUGAAGGAAUCUGUGUCCUUAUUUUUCUCUAAAGCCAGAUCCCACGUGAGAGAUACUGUUGCUAUAUUUACUCCCUCUCUCUGGCAUCUUCAGACUUUCCCUCUGUAUAGACUUCCAGCCCAACCUGUUUAUUUCUCCUUCACCUUGAAAGAAAAUCUUAGUCUGAUUUUGGUGUCGGCUCCAGCUACCAUCUUAGUUCCUUUUCCUUGGCUGACACAUUUCUUAAUUAGGAGCUCAAGGGUGUACUGAUGCCCUGCGUUGAGUCCUCUCCCCAUUUCCAAGGGAAGUCAUUCUACUUCCUUGCUUGAUCUCUGUCCCUGCCCCUGGCUUUUCUCCUUCCUGUUCUCUAAC